rnacentral:tRNA from 1 species
CUUUGUGGUCUAGUGGUAUGAUUCCCGCUUCGGGUGCGGGAGGUCCCGGGUUCGAUCCCCGGC